CCUACGGGUGGCAGCAGUGAGGAAUAUUGGUCAAUGGGCGAGAGCCUGAACCAGCCAAGUCGCGUGAGGGAGUACUGCCCUAUGGGUUGUAAACCUCUUUUGUCGGGGAGCAAAAGCCGGACGUGUCCGGCUGUGAGAGUACCCGAAGAAAAAGCAUCGGCUAACUCCGUGCCAGCAGCCGCGGUAAUACGGAGGAUGCGAGCGUUAUCCGGAUUUAUUGGGUUUAAAGGGUGCGCAGGGGGAUUUUUAAGUCAGCGGUAAAAUCGUGGGGCUCAACCCCAUCCAGCCGUUGAAACUGGGGAUCUAGAGUGUGCGAGAGGUAUGCGGAAUGCGUGGUGUAGCGGUGAAAUGCAUAGAUAUCACGCAGAACCCCGAUUGCGAAGGCAGCAUACCGGUGCACAACUGACGCUCAGGCACGAAAGCGUGGGUAUCGAACAGGAUUAGAUACCCUUGUAGUC
rnacentral:rRNA from 1 species